rnacentral:lncRNA from 1 species
GUGUGUGUGUGUACGUAUGGGGGCGACCAGGAGAACAAAAAAGGGGGUGAACCCUAGUUCCACAUAUCUUCAAAAUUGAAGAUCAAUUCAAGACCCAAAUCGGUGCAUGAACAUGAAUAAACGAUCACCAAGUCAUGGAGAUCAUAAGUUUGACGCGUAACAAGCUAGGUGGAAGCUUGAUGAGGGAGCGGGUCAAACGAAUCAAGAAGGAAAGGAAAAAGCAUAGUUCGGACGCGAGGUAAGUAAAGCUUACACCCAUUUGUAGUAAAAGUAUGUAUUUUAUAGAUAAUAAAUGUGACAACCGAUUAUAUUCGAAAUUGGAGUUCCGACACGAAGCGAUAUGAGUCGGAACGAAUAAAAACGAUCAAAACCAUGGUUAAUGGUAAAAUGGACAAAAGGGUAAUUUAGUCGUGAAUUGACUAAGAAUUUAUAAGAUUUCUUUAAGGUUACCUUAUAGCGUAACUAGUAAUGGGAAAAGGGGUAAAUUAGUCACAUGUUGACUAUAUGUAAGUUGAGAUUAAAAGGAUACCCAUGGUAUAAGCCAUAACGAGUUAAAUACGUAAGAAGAAUGAUCUUGUGGUAAAAAUUUGAAAUGGGUCGGAUGUGGGAAUGGGUUAUUAGAAACCAUGAUUUGACAUAAGUAUAAAUGUUUGGUCAUAAAUACCAAAUGGGUCAAAUGGUGGUGAUGACACCAUUUGACAAUAUCGACUAAUGUUUGGUUGUUAAGUUAGAUGUUCACAGGAGUGAACGGGAAGUGGAUUAUUGCGUCGCUAUAAAGUAGCGGCUAAUAAAAGAAAGGUACAAAACGGGUCUAUAUGUUGACUCGAGCCAGGGUUUUGACCGUAGGUGAAGAUGGACCUAAUCCGGAUGAAGAUCAAGCGGCGAGCAAGAACCGAACACACGUUAAAUGAAGCUUCCGCGUCAAAACUUGAUUUGUGUAGUUAUAAGUGAAUUAUGUAAACGCUUAUAAAUUGUUUUUGAAAUGUUGUAAACAUUUGGGAAUGUGGGUAUAACAAGUUUUUGUAAAGUCACAUUUUAGCAUAAAAAUGUGUAUGUUUUAUUUAAAUAUUAAUAAAACGAGACGGGUCUUACAUUUUCC